CGUCUGCCCCAGAAAAACAACGAGAAUUUGUUAAUCUAAAUAACAUUGUGCAACGUUGAUCAUUCGAGGGUAAUGAGCGAAGGGAGGAUAGAUAGAGCAAGAGAAAGAGAGAGAAAGAGUAGGAGAGAAUGAAAGCGUGAAUUGAGG